GACGAACGCUGGCGGCGUGCCUAAUACAUGCAAGUAGAACGCUGAAGGAGGAGCUUGCUUCUCUGGAUGAGUUGCGAACGGGUGAGUAACGCGUAGGUAACCUGCCUGGUAGCGGGGGAUAACUAUUGGAAACGAUAGCUAAUACCGCAUAAGAGUAGAUGUCGCAUGACAUUUGCUUAAAAGGUGCAAUUGCAUCACUACCAGAUGGACCUGCGUUGUAUUAGCUAGUUGGUGAGGUAACGGCUCACCAAGGCAACGAUACAUAGCCGACCUGAGAGGGUGAUCGGCCACACUGGGACUGAGACACGGCCCAGACUCCUACGGGAGGCAGCAGUAGGGAAUCUUCGGCAAUAGACGGAAGUCUGACCGAGCAACGCCGCGUGAGUGAAGAAGGUUUUCGGAUCGUAAAGCUCUGUUGUAAGGGAAGAACGAGUGUGAGAGUGGAAAGUUCACACUGUGACGGUAUCUUACCAGAAAGGGACGGCUAACUACGUG
rnacentral:rRNA from 1 species